CUGCUUGUUUGCUUUACUUUGUCUGCAACUGCCAAGGAGUUUGUAGUUUUCCUGUGUUCUUUGCCUUUAAACCUCCCUUUAAAUGCAUUCAAGGCUGCUCUGUGAGAAGUGUUUUCCUGCUUGUAGUUACUGUUCUGCUUAAUACAGACUCUCAGUUUGGAUUUUGAGCUUGCUGAGUGCAGCUUGGAUCUCUGCGAUGCAAGAAGUACACAGCUGGAAUAUGAGAAGAAAUGAAGAAAAGAAGGACAUAAUGCAGAAGGAGAGACAAAAGAAAAGAAAAGAAAAGAAAAGAAAAGAAAAGAAAAGAAAAGAAAAGAAAAGAAAAGAAAAGAAAAGAAAAGGAAAGAAAAGAAAAGAAAAAAGAAAAACAACACAAAAGGAUAUACGGAUCAGUAUGUAUUUGGGUGCAUCCAUGAAUGUUCUCAGCUGACCAAAGCCACACCCCUGGUACGAGAAAACUACAGUAAAACAUCAUAUGCCCUCUCAUAAGACAGCUUCUAGCAAAACAUCACAAGAUUCAACUGAGUCUUCAAAAAAACCCAGAAACUUCCACUUCAGAGUUUCUUCCUGUAUGUAUCUAGGUUUGUACCAAGAUGAUUAAAGCACUAGGAUAUUUGACAGUUUGUCAAUCUGAAACCAAUACAGUAGAAAAACAUUACAAUACAGGAAAUUUAAGUCACAUGUUUCCAUACAAUCUUUCCAUAAUGAGAGCAAAACCAAUUAGCAUGUGGUGUGCAGUUUCUCAAAUUGGAGAAGGCAGCUUGUAAGAAAGUCUGAGGUUGUUUUAUUAGCCAAUUGGUCAUCAAACCAAAAGCCUCAGAAUUUUUACUGUAUUUUCUCCUACAAGUUGUUUAACAUAGCAUAAAUUUUCUUUAUUUUUUCUUGCUUUCCUACAAGUUCUCUCAAAUACAUAAAAUCUGAUCUUAUGAGAAUGUGGGUAAUUAGAAACAAAUGAUAAAAAGAAGAAGAGGAAGAGGAGGAAGAAGAAGAAGAGUCAGUCAGUUGGGAGAAAUGUUUAGGCCAGAACAUCUGAGUUGAUCCAGCUAUCAAGAGUACAGAAAGAGCUAGAAUUCUAGGAUUGGGAAGGGCUCCCAUCUAAGGAGAUAAAAACAUUCACACCAAACAAGCAAUGCUAUUGCCAAACCUAUUAGUCUCCACAAAAUGAUGAGGCCCUAACACUAACACCUACAUAACUCACUGAAGCUGGAGGAGCAAAGCUGAUGACUCUAUGCCUCUCUGAGUCUUUAUUGAGUAGUUCUCAGCAUACUGAAAGGAACUAUGCAUAUCCUCAGAGAAGAAAGACAAACACCAACCCAGCAGCAAACCAUUUAUCUGCAAUGUUGGCCUGCCUGCAUGAUACCCUGGUGUAAUGAUAGUACAAAAAGUUACAGGAGCAACCAAUGACUAUCUGAGUGGAAUUAUGUCCAAUUCCAUAAGAUGGAAUCUCUGCCCAACAUUGUGUGGCAAAGAACCUGAGACUAGACAGGCCCUGGACUUAAAGGUAAAACAAUUUAUUUCUAAUAUCAGAGAUCAGACCUCUACUCUUGCCUGAUGCGUCUAAAACAAAAAGGGGGAACUGUAGAGAGCUGCAUAAUGCCGUGCCUUAAAGAAGGAGCUGGUUUCCGCCUUCCACCUUCCCGAUGGUGAGUGCUCUCUGUCACAAACAACUCCACAUUUGGCUAAGGCUGGGGAUCUGGCUUGCUUCUGUGUAUGUGGACCUAUCUGCAUUGCCCACGAGGCACGCUGGGGUUGGCUACCCAGAGGCUAUUUAAAGUGGGCUGGCUUUCCCCAGGGUCAGAUGAUUGUUCAAGGUUCCUGAAUAAACUGCAUUGAGAAAAAAAAAAAAAAGGUAAAACAAAUGUUAUAGCAAUGCUAAAGUCAUGUAACAAUAAAAUGACCUAUGAUGACAUUCUACUGGACUCAUAGAUGUGUAUCUUGCUCAGCCUUCAUCAGAGACAUUUCCUCCACAAGUAGAUGGAAAUUAAUGCUAACACCUACAAACUGGAUAAUAUUCAGAGUCAAAGACUGGAGUACCUUGUUGUAAAUUGUAUGUCUCUAUCAAGUCCCUUCCCUCAAAUCUUAGGGAACAUUGUGCUAGAGGAAGCAGAAAUAUUGUAAGAGCCAGAGACGUGGAAGACACAAAGGGACAAGAUCUUCUGCACACAGCAACUGAUGUGCAUGUAAACUUACAGAGACUGUGACAGCGUUUACUUGACCUACAAACACCUAAGCCAGACAUGGUCCCAUCAGUGAGAGCAGAGGUGGACAAUUUCCCCAUCACUAACUGAGAAGCUAUCUCUGAUUGACAACAACUAGCAAAGGAAAAAAAAUGCCUUUCUCCAACAGAUCUCACUGGAUAUACAAACCACCUUCAAGGCCAGAACCAGUGCAUAGCAGUAGACAGGCAACAGAAAACAAAUUCAGUGUAUUUGUGGAGGUACUUUGUCACACCAUGCUUUGGGUGGCAUGUUUUUUUAACUUCCUCAGGCCUUUUGCUUAUACAUCAUAUUUUCUGAUUUUUUUUUAUGGGAUUUCUGUGUGAGCAAAUAUGUUCCUGUUUGUGUUUUUUUGUUUCUUCUCCGUUAUUGCUGUUGUUCUUUUUUGUUAUUCCUUUUGACCUCUUUAUUUCUUAAUGAGAGAGAGAAACAAAGGAUGUAGAUUUGAGUGGGCAGGGGCUGGGUGAAUUUGGGAGGAGUUGGUGGAAGGGAAACUGUUACAAUUAAACAACCAGGGAACUCCUACAGCUGAUAAAUACCUUCAGCAAAGUGGCCAGAUACAAAAUUAACUCAAAAAAAUCAGUAGCACUCCUGUAUACAAAAGACAAAAGGACUGAGAAAGAAAUUAGGGAAACAACACCCUUCACAAUAGCCACAAAUGACAUAAAGUACCUUGGUAUAACCCUAACCAAGCAAGUCAAAGACUUGUAUGAAAAAAAAUUUCAAGUCUCGGGAGAAAGAAUUAGAAGAAGAUAUCAGAAGAUGGAAAGAUCUCCCAUGCUCAUGGCUUGGCAGGAUUAACAUAGUAAAAGUGGCCAUCUUACCAAAAGCAAUCUACAGAUUUAAUACAAUCCCCAUCAA